rnacentral:rRNA from 1 species
UACGUAGGGGGCAAGCGUUGUUCGGAAUUACUGGGCGUAAAGGGCGCGUAGGCGGUACGACAAGUCGGGAGUGAAAGCCCGGGGCUCAACCCCGGGACUGCUUUCGAAACUGUCGAACUUGAGUGCAGAAGAGGCAACUGGAAUUCCCAGUGUAGCGGUGAAAUGCGUAGAUAUUGGGAAGAACACCUGAGGCGAAGGCGGGUUGCUGGGCUGACACUGACGCUGAGGCGCGAAAGCUAGGGGAGCAAACGGG